AACGAACGCUGGCGGCAGGCUUAACACAUGCAAGUCGAACGCACCUUUCGGGGUGAGUGGCCGACGGGUGAGUAACGCGUGGGAAUCUACCCUUCUCUACGGGAUAGCUCCGAGAAACUGGAAUUAAUACCGUAUACGUCCUGAGGGAGAAAGAUUUAUCGGGGAAGGAUGAGCCCGCGUUGGAUUAGCUAGUUGGUGGGGUAAAGGCCUACCAAGGCGACGAUCCAUAGCUGGUCUAAGAGGAUGAUCAGCCACAUUGGGACUGAGACACGGCCCAAACUCCUACGGGAGGCAGCAGUGGGGAAUAUUGGACAAUGGGCGCAAGCCUGAUCCAGCCAUGCCGCGUGAGUGAUGAAGGCCCUAGGGUUGUAAAGCUCUUUCAGUGGGGACGAUAAUGACGGUACCCACAGAAGAAGCCCCGGCUAACUUCGUG
rnacentral:rRNA from 1 species